rnacentral:rRNA from 1 species
UGCGGCCUCGGUGACCCGCGGGUCCCGGGCCACGCCUGUUUGAGGGUCG